UUCCUUGUGGCCCAAUGGCAAGGCGUUCGCCUACGACCAGCGAAAGAUUCCAGGUUCGACCCCUGGCAAGGAAG
rnacentral:tRNA from 1 species